CGGACGGGUGAGUAACGCGUGGGGAACCUGCCCUGUACCGGGGGAUAGCAGCCGGAAACGGCUGAUAAUACCGCAUAAGCGCACGAAUGUCGCAUGACAUGGUGUGAAAAACUCCGGUGGUAUAGGAUGGACCCGCGUCUGAUUAGCCUGUUGGUGGGGUAAAAGCCUACCAAAGCGAAGAUCAGUAGCCGAGUUGAGAGACUGACCGGCCACAUUGGGACUGAGACACGGCCCAGACUCCUACGGGAGGCAGCAGGC
rnacentral:rRNA from 1 species